GCUGAGUGAGAGCAAAUUGAAGGAUCUACUACAUGGAUCAGAAUAUGUUCUCACUUAUGAGGAUAAGGAUGGUGACUGGAUGCUUGUGGGUGAUGUGCCCUGGCAGUAAGCUUUGAUAUGCUUUAUCUAUUUUCUUUGCUUUUGCUUCUCUUUUUUAUCGCAUUUCAAUGUUCAUAUGAUUGGCUUGUAGUUGAUAUGGUAGUGGGUCUUCUGAAUCCUCUACUUGAAUAUGGAUAUACAGAGGUUGAUCACAUGUGGUCAGGAGGGAAAUUUUGCUCUAGUGUUUAAGAAUCUUAAGAAUUGUACAAGAGAUAACAAGAAACUAAGAAAAGGCAAUUAUGUGCUUAUAUGGCAAUCAGUGUGAAAACAUUCAUGUGCAUGUAAAAUGCACAUGACAAAUACCCAGGGAUCCAACCAUAUAUGCCUAUAUGAAUAUGCCACAAAAGUAUGUAAAAAUGCUCUAAGAUGACCAAUGAUUCCAUGAAAGGCUGAAAUUGCAUCAAACUAUCAUAUAGACCCAUUAGCCAUAGUGUUUGUUGAAUCGGGUGUAUAUAUGGUCUAUAAGAGGGAACUCUGGAUCAUUACAACAGAAGUAAAGCGUACUUUCUACAAGUAGUUACAUUGUUUUGGCUACACAGCUGUCAGAUGGCAAUGCACAUCAUUUUAAAUGUCAACUGCAAGCACAAAUCAGCAGGAGAAUUACAUUUGUGAAAUCAUGAAAAUUUAUGUUCUUUUGAUGUGAUAUUAUUAUAUUUUCUUCAAUUAUAACUUUUAAUAACUAGAUUAAUGCUGCUAAUGACAGUUUGGAUAUGGAUAUAUCAAUGACAAGUUUCUUACAAUAAUGUCAUUAGAAGGAUCUCUAAUUGUUCUGCAGAAAAUAUUUAAGCAUGUUGCAAAAAUCCUCUACCAUUUAUCAUUGCUGAUUUCCUGACUUCCCCACUCAUAAGCACAAUAUACUGAAGUAUUUUAAAACAUGGGCAUUGUAAUUGUAUCUUGUCUUUCCAUUUAUAUGGCAAAUGAAACUCAGUGAAUUUGAUGUUGGUUAUGGUCCAUUAACAGCAAUUUGCAUCAUAAUCAAACAGUUAAAAACAUCGUUGUUUUUGCUUCAAGAUACCCUUGACCAUUUAGUAGGUUGUGUCUGAAGUCUCACUCAUUUUUGGAAAUUUGGCAGGAUGUUUAUUGAGACAUGCAAGCGGCUGAGGAUCAUGAAGAGCUGUGAUGCCAUUGGUCUAGGUCUGUAUAUUUUAUGUUCCAGUUAACUGUCUCUAAUCAAUAAAAAACUUCACAUGCUAUUAGAAGAAAUGCGAUAUCCCAUUCAUGAGGAAUUUGCCUUAACUGCAAACUUUCUUGCAUGCUCGUGUUUUGCCUUCAUAUGGGGACCAAUCCUUGAUAUUUCCCUGGAUGGAACUUGAUAGUGCUUUGUCUUUUAUGGCUAUGUACUCAUUUUUUAUUGAUUACAAAAAGUUAGAGAAUUCUUAACACAAAUCUGCUUGUUAUACCCCAACUGAGCAUUUAACCUGCUGCUCCUUAAACUUGGAAUACACUGUGCAAAUAGAAAGGAAUUUGUGGGGGAAGGAUAAGGUAGAAUUGGGACAAUUUCAGUUGGUUAUAGGUGGAAACUCAAAAUAUUAUGAAGAGAAUAUGCAUCUAGAAUAAGUGAGAAGAAAAUAUUGCUUCAUUAUCAAGGAAAAUUUAAGAACCUCUGGAAAUUGUUGGAAAAAAUGCAGAAGCUUAAGAAAUGCCACAUUGUUUGGGCACUAGGAACUAGAAGAUCUUAGAAGAAGGGUUGAAGAAAAAAAAUGGAAAGGUGCAAUGAAUUUAGUUGGCAAGGUCAGAUACUAUUUGGCAUGCAUGCCUAUCAAAAAAAAAAAAAAGACAAAAGGUCAGAUACUAUUGGGCAUGCACAUUUUAGUUUAGUAGCAUUGAACUUUAAUAUAUAACUUGAAAUAGUUUUGAAUUUAGCUGGCAAGGUAAGGUGCUAUUGGUUUGGGCAUGCAAGUUAUGGUAACAGUGAACUGUAACUUAUAAUAAUCUUGCAUUCAAAUUCAAUUAUGUAUGAAACAUGAAUAAGGUCAAAGUUGUAAUCUGGCAAGAGUUUCUAUCCAAAGAUUAGCCAUUUCCAUUCAAAGCAGCAAUCAUAUAACUGCUUCACCUGCAUACAUUUUCCUAUUCUACAAAGUUAGGUAUCUUUUUGGUAUUUAAAAGUUUUGAAGUGAAUGGUAGUCUAUAAUUCAAUUUAAUUUAUUUUUUUCAUUUCCUAUCCAAAAAUCAAACAGUAGUCAAUCUUUCAAAUGAAUCAUUUGUAGGAAAGCUUAUGUUUCAUUCUGCUGCCAUGACACAUCAGUAUCUCGGUUCCUACAGAUUCAGAUGUUGCUUGGUUUGUCAAUGAGUGUUAUCUUGGUUUUUCUACAUAUGUUUCUCUAAGCUGCACUUUCACUUGCCUUAUGGUUUUUGUGAGCAGCUCCCAGGGCUGUGGAGAAAUGCAAGAACAGGAACUAGCUUGCCUCUACACAUGGUUGUUGCCAUCCAUCCAGCAGGCCUAGGGGAGGGUGGAAAUGCAAAAGCCAGAUUUUGGUGGAAGUGUAGGAACUAAUGGAUGCUGAGACUGGACAGCAGAUCAUGGGUAGAUGCCUUUAUCAUGUUACUAUUAUGUUUUCAUUUUCUGGGAAUUCAUGUUCUCCAAGCUGUGUCUGUAGUCUAAGAUGAUUAUAGAACUCCUAAGACCCUUACAUGGGAGUACUUAAAGCAAGUGUUUGAUCUGUGUUUGGCGAGUUCUUGUUUCUAUACACUAUCCUUUUUUAAGCUUGUAAAGUGCA
rnacentral:lncRNA from 1 species